rnacentral:rRNA from 1 species
ACGAACGCUGGCGGCAGGCCUAACACAUGCAAGUCGAGCGCUACCUUCGGGUGGAGCGGCGGACGGGUUAGUAACGCGUGGGAAUAUACCCAGUUCUAAGGAAUAGUCACUGGAAACGGUGAGUAAUACCUUAUACGCCCUUCGGGGGAAAGAUUUAUCGGAAUUGGAUUAGCCCGCGUUAGAUUAGUUAGUUGGAGAGGUAACGGCUCCCCAAGACAUCGAUAGGUAGGGGUCCUGAGAGGGAGAUCCCCCACACUGGUACUGAGACACGGACCAGACUCCUACGGGAGGCAGCAGUGAGGAAUAUUGG